CGGCGGACGGGUGAGUAACGCGUGGGUAACCUACCCUGUACACACGGAUAACAUACCGAAAGGUAUGCUAAUACGGGAUAAUAUAUUUGAGAGGCAUCUCUUGAAUAUCAAAGGUGAGCCAGUACAGGAUGGACCCGCGUCUGAUUAGCUAGUUGGUAAGGUAACGGCUUACCAAGGCGACGAUCAGUAGCCGACCUGAGAGGGCGAUCGGCCACAUUGGAACUGAGACACGGUCCGA
rnacentral:rRNA from 1 species